rnacentral:rRNA from 1 species
AGAGUUUGAUCCUGGCUCAGGAUGAACGCUAGCGGGAGGCUUAAUACAUGCAAGUCGCACGGCAGCAUUGAUAUAGUAAUAUAUUAGAUGGCGAGUGGCGCACGGGUGAGUAACGCGUACACAACCUACCCUUAAGAGGGGGAUAACUCAGAGAAAUUUGGGAUAAUACCCCAUAAUAUCGUAAAUAUGCAUAUAUAUAUGAUUAAAGUUCCGGCGCUUAAGGAUGGGUGUGCGUUAGAUUAGGUAGUUGGUGAGGUAACGGCUCACCAAGCCGACGAUCUAUAAGGGGCGUGAGAGCGUGUUCCCUCACACGGGUACUGAGACACGGACCCGACUCCUACGGGAGGCAGCAGUAAGGAAUAUUGGACAAUGCCCGCAAGGGUGAUCCAGCCAUCCCGCGUGCAGGAAGACUGCCCUAUGGGUUGUAAACUGCUUUUAUCAGGGAAGAAACCCCUUGACUUGUUAAGGGUUGACGGUACCUGAUGAAUAAGCACCGGCUAACUCCGUGCCAGCAGCCGCGGUAAUACGGAGGGUGCAAGCGUUAUCCGGAAUCACUGGGUUUAAAGGGUGCGUAGGCGGCUUAAUAAGUCAGAGGUGAAAGACUACAGCUUAACUGUGGCACUGCCUUUGAUACUGUUGAGCUGGAAUCAGGUUGAAGUUAGUGGAAUGCGGCAUGUAGCGGUGAAAUGCAUAGAUAUGUCGUAGAACACCGAUUGCGAAGGCAGCUAACUGGGCUUGAAUUGACGCUGAGGCACGAAAGCGUGGGGAUCGAACAGGAUUAGAUACCCUGGUAGUCCACGCCCUAAACGAUGCUAACUCGAUGUAUGGUUGUAAGAUUGUGCGUCUAAGGGAAACCGUUAAGUUAGCCACCUGGGGAGUACGUUCGCAAGAAUGAAACUCAAAGGAAUUGACGGGGGUCCGCACAAGCGGUGGAGCGUGUGGUUUAAUUCGAUGAUACGCGAGGAACCUUACCUGGGCUAUAAUGCGACCGCAAUACUGGGAAACUGGUAGCUCCUUCGGGACGGUCAGCAAGGUGCUGCAUGGUUGUCGUCAGCUCGUGCCGUGAGGUGUUGGGUUAAGUCCCGCAACGAGCGCAACCCCCAUUGUUAGUUACCAUCUCCUGAUUUCAGGAAGGGACUCUAACGAGACUGCCGGCGUAAGCUAGAGGAAGGUGGGGAUGACGUCAAAUCAUCAUGGCCUUUAUGUCCAGGGCGACACACGUGCUACAAUGGCCGGUACAGAGGGUUGCGACACUGUGAGGUGAAGCUAAUCUCAGAAAGCCGGUCUCAGUUCGGAUUGAAGUCUGAAACUCGACUUCAUGAAGUUGGAAUCGCUAGUAAUCGCGCAUCAGCCAUGGCGCGGUGAAUACGUUCCCGGACCUUGUACACACCGCCCGUCAAGCCAUGGGAGCCGGGGGUACCUGAAGACGGUGACUUAACAGGGAGCUGUCUAGGGUAAAACUGGUAACUGGGGCUAAGUCGAAACAAGGCA